GUUGCAGCGUCGCUCAGCUGAAAGAUUUAGAGAAAUGGGGAAAGAAGUACCAGCUGAUGCAGUGAAUGAAAUGUUAGCCAAUUAUAUCUUGCCCACUACCAAGGACAUGCCUGGAUCGGAAGAAUAUUUUGAUGAGGUUAUAUUUGUAGAACUUGAUCGUGCAGAGUCUCAAAGAUACUUGGAUGGGAUGAAACGUGCUCUGCCAUCUGAAUCACGUGACAACGUUACAUCAUUUUCAAAAGCUAGUACUGCUCCUCUUGUUUCACCCUCAUCUCGAGAUCAAGGUCGACAUGGUAUACCAGAUGCUGGGCG
rnacentral:misc_RNA from 1 species